AUUGAACGCUGGCGGCAGGCCUAACACAUGCAAGUCGAACGGUAACAGGAAACAGCUUGCUGUUUCGCUGACGAGUGGCGGACGGGUGAGUAAUGUCUGGGAAACUGCCUGAUGGAGGGGGGAUAACUACUGGAAACGGUAGCUAAUACCGCAUAACGUCGCAAGACCAAAGAGGGGGACCUUCGGGCCUCUUGCCAUCGGAUGUGCCCAGAUGGGAUUAGCUAGUAGGUGGGGUAACGGCUCACCUAGGCGACGAUCCCUAGCUGGUCUGAGAGGAUGACCAGCCACACUGGAACUGAGACACGGUCCAGACUCCUACGGGAGGCAGCAGUGGGGAAUAUUGCACAAUGGGCGCAAGCCUGAUGCAGCCAUGCCGCGUGUAUGAAGAAGGCCUUCGGGUUGUAAAGUACUUUCAGCGGGGAGGA
rnacentral:rRNA from 1 species